CGCGGUGACGCGUGCGCACAAAGGUCCCGCCAGCUAAGGGCGCAGAGCCUGGCGGCGGGAGCCGGGCGGAGAGUGCGGCUUGCCCUUUCUGAGCAGAAAAGGAAUAUACUGGAAGGAAAUUGGAUAGCUAAAAUAGCAAAUCGAAAUCUGCAGAACCAAGCUUAGAAAUGGGAAGAAAUCGAGGAAGAUUGGCCCACAAAGACAAAGGCUUUUCCAAUUUGAAGGCACAAAGAACUGAGAACUUGGGGAUCUACUGAGGCCUGAGGCAUGGUGGUUCCAGAGGAGAUGAAGGGGCCUUCGGCAUGAAACUGGUCCCCUGUUGACAGCAGCCUGAUUUCUCCAUUGGGCUCUAUCAGCAUGUCCACUGUCACAUUGGUGACACUCUCUGUAGGAAUGAGGAGGUGAUGAAGUAUCAAGACAAAGAGCCAUAUCUUGGAUGACCUCCUGGAAGAGGACCUGCCAGCCUUGGACAUCUCACCUGUGAACUGUUUCGUGAGUGAGAAAAACUAAUUUAUUUAAGUCAUCAUAGUUUGGACUUUUUUAUUACAGCAGAGCCUGUAACAAACUAAUAUGCAUAUCUAUUAACUUCUAAUUAACUUCCUUUAUCUUAUUCCUCUGCAUUUCCUGUGCUUACAGUCUUUUCUUCAUGUCAGUAUUUCAAUAUUCAGCAGUGUCUGCUCUGUUCUUUCUAUUUAUAGUUUAUUUAUUAUGUCCAUAAAGUAUUUUGGUAUUCAAUUUAUUUCCUUGUGUCUGCAACCUCCCUUUUUUUCUCAUUCUGCUAUUUUAUCAUCUCAUGGUUGAGCUCUAGUUUUACUUAAUUUAUGUUCCUAUCAAGUUCUGCUAUAAUGUGAAGAAAUUGUGAAAAAAUUCCUUCUGUUCUUUGAGUUAUGUUCUUUUCCUGGGUUAGGCUUUGUCUUUUGCAGCCCAUGAUUCUCCCUCCCUCCUCACCUCCCUUUCUUUCGUUAGCUGUUGGUAAAGCUGACAGGUAUAUAAUAGUGACUGUAUCAUAUCUUAUCCCUUUGUUCAUACUUGGGCAGCUCUGUCCAGACAUUUUCCUUGCUCUGAUAUAGUAUCUCCUCCCCCAUUGUCUGGUAUUAGUGUGUUUCACGUGAGAGUUGGAUAUUCUAAAUUUCUCCACCUUUCCAUUACCUGAGGGCUUAGGUGGGAGCGCAGCAAACAUCUUAGAUCACAAGAUGGAAAAUGGCCUGUUCAGGAGGACAGAGCAGUAAAAUGUGUGGGUACCUGACACUGUAGGGCUACCACAUCACCCGCAAACUGCUCUGCUCAAACUGUGACGUGAGAAAACAUUAACUAUUGUCAGGUUUAAGCUACUGUUAUUUAUUUCUCUUGCUAAACUCAUCUCCUAAAUAACACAAGGUAUUUUUAUUUACUCAAGUGGGGACUCCCAUGGAAACUUCAGCUUCAAUAUGUCUUAAAUUCAAGCAGAUUGAACCAGAUUUGAAAUAAAAUGAAACUUCUUUUUUAAAUUUUGGGGGGUUUGAAUUAUUUCAAACUUUGUGUAUAAAGCAAGAAUUUAUUAUUAUUUUACAUCACAGUGUUUCAAAUUUAUAUAAUUCAAUUUCACAUAAAAUUCAGCAUCACUGAUCUUCCAUUGUGAGGAAUUAUUUAGUUAAUAUAUGGAGAUACACACCAUAAACUUUUUCAUACCAGAAACUGGGUUUUAUUUUUGUUUCAUAUAAACAUUUUCUAGAAGUAUAACAUUUUUUUCAAGGCACAAAUCAUAAAGUCAUCAAAUGAUAGAUUUUCACCAAGUGGACGCUGUGGGUAACCAGCCUCCAGAACAAGAAGUAUAUUACGAGCAUCCCAGGGGCCCCUCUUAUGCUCCCUCCCAGUCACUACCAUAAUCCAAAGGUACUAACAUACUAUUCUGAAUUCCAUUACCAAUUAUUAUUUUUCUGGUUUUGAAUUUUACAUAAAUGGAUUACUACAGUAUAUAUUCUUUUGUAUCUGGCUUUUUUUCUUUUAAAAUUGGUGUCAGAUUUACCAUUUUUUUAUAUAGCAGUAUGUUCAGACUAUAGACUUUUAAGUAUUGAUUUUGAGUUAUAAAUUAUGUUUAUAGCUAUAACCAGUAAGUCUUGAGCCUCCAACCUCCUACUUUUUUUGUUUGCUUAUAAUGUUCCUUCUGGAACAUUCUGUGUCUCUUGGCUCUGCUACUAAUUCCUGACACCUUUUAAAAACUGAAUUAAAGGUAACCUCUUCUAGGAAAUCACCUCUGCUCUCGUCUUCCUCUGAGUUCCUAUAGCUUUUCUUUGUACCUCUUUUAUUAUAUUUAUAACAUAUAUUAUAAGUAUUUGUAUGGUACCCUGAAGGCAUUACAUAAUUCAGAACUCAUCUAAUUCUGUCUUAUUCUCUCAUUUGAAGAAGAAAUAGAGCCAAAAAAGUUUUAAGAACUAUAACCACUUAAGAUUUGUUGGGGAAGAACAAUUAAUGUAACCAUAUCAGUAGCAAAUAUUUUCCUUUUUGAUAAAGAUAAUAUAAUUGCAAGACUAAAAAGUGGCCUAGUUACCAGUAUGGUAAUGGUAGGGUAGCUUAUAACAGACUGAUCUUCCUGAACACAACAAUUAUAAAUUCUGAAUAUAUAUUUUUAAAAAACCAACUAUUUGAAGGUACUAAGUUAAACUGAAAACAGGCAGAAGCUAGAUGGGGGAGUUGAUCUUGAAAGACGGGAACUGCUAUAGUUGAGGUUUCUGUGUUUGUGACUUCUGGCCUGGAAGUACUUCUCAGUCCAUGCAAAGUGGCUCCAAUUCAAGAAUAAAGCCACAGUCUUACUGGCUAGACAGGUAAGAAGAUGAAGUUUAGGGCUGUCAAAAAGGCUGAAAAUGAAGGAGAAUCCCAGAAAGGGUGAAGCUGCAAGGCAGGGGUGCAAAAUUUGCAAACAAAUGACAUGCCGGAAGAGAUUCUAAGAAGCCCAGCAAAAAUACAGCAGUUAACAAUUUGAAAAAAGCAAGUAUUUCAGCUGCUACCCACCAAGGCAGAGUCUAGAAUUUGAGUCUAGCCAAAUUAAUGUCCUGCUUCAAAGAGAAUCCACACAUUCAAAAGUAAGGUAACAUAAUUCAGUUUGUACAUCAUUUAUAAUGUCCUUAACAAUAAAAAGUUACUAUAUGUGCUAAAAAACAAGAAAAUAUUUUCAAUACAAGAGAAAUAAUCAUGAAUAGAAACAGACCUUGGAGGUGACGAACAGGUUUAUGGCAUAGAUUGUGGUGAUAGUUUCACCACAUUUAUCAAGUUGUGUUGGGAGACAUGUUUCUACAAUAUUUUCUUAGCCUCUUUGCUUCUAUUUUCUAUGCUGAAAACUCUAUCUUGUCCUGCUUUACU